rnacentral:rRNA from 1 species
AGAACGAACGCUGGCGGCAGGCCUAACACAUGCAAGUCGAACGCGACCUUCGGGUCGAGUGGCGCACGGGUGAGUAACGCGUGGGAAUCUGCCCUGUGGUACGGAAUAACAUCGGGAAACUGGUGCUAAUACCGUAUAUCCCCUGAGGGGGAAAGAUUUAUCGCCAUGGGAGGAGCCCGCGUAGGAUUAGCUAGUUGGUGAGGUAACGGCUCACCAAGGCGACGAUCCUUAGCUGGUCUGAGAGGAUGAUCAGCCACACUGGGACUGAGAUACGGCCCAGACUCCUACGGGAGGCAGCAGUGGGGAAUAUUGGACAAUGGGGGAAACCCUGAUCCAGCCAUGCCGCGUGUGUGAUGAAGGCCUUCGGGUUGUAAAGCACUUUCGCACGUGACGAUGAUGACGGUACGUGAGAAGAAGCCCGGCUAACUUCGUGCCAGCAGCCGC